ACUAUUCUCUCUCUCUCUAGUCUCUAGUAGAGAACAGAACCAAUUUGAAUCCCUAACUAACUAACCCCUUCGAAUUCUCACUUCUUCAUCAACAAACCUCAAUUCCAAUUUGUCUCAAUUCUCACCGUCACCAGCGACACCGCACUUCCUUUGUACACGACGGCGAUUCUUACGUUAUUUAUUCUCGUUUCACCGCCUUCCUAGUUUUCGACAUUAAUCUCUUGCGUCUAACGGAGAAAGACAUUUUCUCUGUUUUUCUCAUCUUUCAUCUCCAACUCGUUUUCUACCGAUUGAACGCAACUCCGACUCGGUUACGUUAACAUGGCUUGGAGGCGUUUGAUAACACAGAUUGGUGUCUAUUAUGGAAAUCCAGGAGUGACAAAUGGAGGAAUUGCAUUCAAGUUUUUUGCAUUGGAUCGGCUAGAAGUUUGUCCUACAGGGGAAGAUAAAGCUGUUAAACACAAUAACCUUUUCACCACAAUAAUCUUCAACUUUCUGCUGCUAUUUGGUAUUUCUACUCCAAAAUAUAUUUGUUACUAAUAUGAAGAACUAAUCACCAUUUUCACACUACCUUUUAGGCCAAAAGAUGAAGAAAUUGGCCUUAAAGUUCGUUUAAGAGCGCAAAAGAGCAAGUAAAUUCCAAUUUCAGCAUUAGCAAUUCUUAGAAGGGGACGAUCAUAAGGUAUCCCCAACCUAGAGUGCAAGGAUCUCCUAAAUUCGACUGCAGAAAGAAUGAAGAAUUUAUAAAUAUUGACAUAUGUUGAUAUCCUUAAUGAUAAAGCAGAGUGGAAAGCCCUGCAGAUUCAGUAGAUCUCUAAAUUUUAACAACUGUAUACAAAGUAAACGCAGAAUCCUAUCCAUGGACCUUGCAAAAGUUCGACAGCAUACCUUGCUUCAUUUCUGUGUCCCCAAAACUCAGUUCAUAGAAAACAGUUAUUGGAUGCAGAGUCCCAGGAGGGCUAUAGUGAUAAGAUGUCAGAAGUAGGUCUCCCAAUACACAUGUCCUGGAUGCAGUUCACGAUAUUGUUCCCUCCCAUGUUAUAAAGUAGUAAGUAAAGUUAUUUGAGUUGUUUCUUAUGUCACACUAGCAUGUCAAGACUAGAUGCUACAAAUGUUUUUGACAGAACAUUACUGAUUGAGGAAGUAUGCUCACUUUGUUUAUCAUUGCAUUUCACUUUAUCUUCUCGUGUUCAACAAAGUUUGAGGAAAGUAUCAUUUCAGUUUUAAUACUGCAUAUUAUUCUGAAAAGAUAUAUUUUGAUGAUGUUAUCAAGCUAGGGUGCUGUUCUAGCAGUGUCACUGCCUUGUUUCUGGUUAAUGAUCCAAUGGUAUCAUGACACCACUUUUAUUUUGGCAAUCGUUAUACUGUAAUUUUAUGUAUAUGAUUUUGUUGAAUUGUUGUUGCUCGCAGGCUUUUUAUAUCAGUGAAUCACCAAUUUAAUCGCUAAAAUUGUAGGGGCAGACAAUUUGGUCUUCAUGCAUGGAAUGAAAAUCAUCGAUCACAUCAGUCCGUCCCAGAUGAUCUUCAAUUUCAGUGAUAUUUUAAAAUUUAAUUAUUAUUAAUAUUAGGGACCAGUUUGUCUCUCUAGCAGAACCAUUCUCUUCUCCCUUUGAUUAGAAUCCCAAUUUAUCUCAAUUCUCACUGUUACUCAUUCAAAUUCUCACUCAAUUCCUUCUUUGUCAACAAAACUCAAUCCCAAUUUGUCUCAAUUCUCACCGUCAAAACCGCCAUUGACACCGCACCUUACAAUUUCUUCAAUGCCCUACCUCCACCACCGCCCUCUGGAGACGACGGCGAUCCUUUCGGCUCCUGGUAUGAUAACAUUGUUUUUCCUCGUUAUUUCCCUAAAACCCUACCUCUUUACUACACCCUCACUUUCAACCUUGCUCUUGCUACCACAUCGCCUACAUUCAAUGAACCGACUUGAUGAUUCCCUCUUAUAAUAUGGUGAGAUUGGAAUGCAGCAAAUUGGAAUUCGUUGCAUAAGAUGACUGGAAUUGCCUUUAAAGCCGGUUAUCCUAAAGAUUGGUGUCUAUUAUGGAAAUCCAGAAGUGGCAAACGGCGGAAUUGCAUUGAAGUUUUUUGCAUUGGAUGGGCUAGAAGUUUGUCCUAUAGGGGAAGAUAAAGUCGUUAAGCACAAUAACCUUUUCGCCACAUAUUCUGUUAUAUAUUAUCUUAAACUUUCUGUUGC